rnacentral:rRNA from 1 species
UACGGGGGGGGCAAGCGUUGUUCGGAAUUACUGGGCGUAAAGGGCGCGUAGGUGGUUUGUUAAGUUGGUUGUGAAAACUCUGGGCUUAACCCAGAGCCUGCAUCCAAAACUAGCAAGCUAGAGUUCUGGAGGGGAUAGCGGAAUUCCUGGUGUAGCGGUGAAAUGCGUAGAUAUCAGGAGGAACACCGGUGGCGAAGGCGGCUAUCUGGACAGAAACUGACGCUGAGGCGCGAAAGCUAGGGGAGCAAACAGG